rnacentral:lncRNA from 1 species
AGAGAUCUAAAAAAACACAGAAAAUACAGACGGCUGGAACAGUUAAUUUUUCUGAGAUUCUUGAGGUUUUGAUUUUUAAAACAAUUCCUGAAUAAACAGAGGUCUAAAAUGAUUUGAACUUGUUGGUUUUCAAGUGUUUUGGUUCAAGUUUUUGCUGCAUUUUGGUUAUUGGGUAUCAUUUCAUCCUUCUGUUGGUUUGAAUUUGGCUGCAAAAUUGUUCUCCUUUGUUAUUUCUGUGUUGAUUUUGUUGUUGGGUCUAAUCCUACUACUGAACUAUCCACUUCUGCUUUUGUUUUGAAAUCCAGGUAUGCCUUAGAUCUAUUGUAUAUGACGUGCAUGUAUGAGCUCAUGUAGUUCAAGAUGAGGAGCAAUAAUAGUCUUCUGCUACUAGUUCAUCAUCAGAUUUGGCUUAGUUCUUGCUAGUAUAGUUUUAUUUUG